GUGGGGAAUAUUGGGCAAUGGGCGGAAGCCUGACCCAGCGACGCCGCGUGGGGGAAGAAGUCUUUCGGGAUGUAAACCCUUGUUGUACGGGACGAAGGAAGUGACGGUACCGUACGAGGAAGCCCCGGCAAACUACGUGCCAGCAGCCGCGGUAAUACGUAGGGGGCGAGCGUUGUCCGGAAUCACUGGGCGUAAAGCGCACGUAGGCGGGCUGUCAAGUCGGCCGUGAAAGGCACGGGCUCAACCUGUGCAUGUCGGUCGAUACUGGCGGUCUGGAGUAUGGGAGAGGGAACUGGAAUUCCCGGUGUAGCGGUGAAAUGCAUAGAUAUCACGCAGAACUCCGAUAGCGAAGGCAGCUUACCAGGCCAUAACAGACACUGAAGCACGAAAGCGUGGGGAUCGAACAGGAUUAGAAACCCUAGUAGUCC
rnacentral:rRNA from 1 species